GUCUUCAAAUUUUUUGAAUUUUUUUGUACCUAAAAGAUUGAAAGGUAUAUAAAACUUUAAAUAAGAUCAAUGAUUUAAUCAAAAGAUAUUGAAGUUCUAAACUACCUUAGAAUUUGGUUAGAGUUUGAUUUAAAGUUUAAGAUUUUAUUAAGAUUUGAUUUAGGAUUUGAUUUAGGAUUUAGGAUUUGAUUAGGAUUUGAUUAGUAUUUGGUUUAAAAUUUAGGAUUUGAUUAAAAUUUGAUUUAUAAUUUAGAAUUUAGUUAGAAUUUGAUUAAGAUAUGAUUUAAAGUAUAAGAUUUAGUUGAGAUUUGGUUUAGGAUUUAGGAUUCAUUUAAGAUUAAAUUUAGAUUUUGAUUUUUAUCUAAGAUUUAAUUUAGGAUUUAGGAUUUGUCUAGAGUUUGAUUGAAGUCCAUUAUGCUUUCAAUAAGCGUUAAAUUAAAACUUG
rnacentral:lncRNA from 1 species